rnacentral:tRNA from 1 species
UGUAAAAAAACUAAAAGUGUUGAACUGUAGAUUCAAAAAUGAAAAAUUUUUCUUUUACAA